rnacentral:rRNA from 1 species
CAGCCGCCGCGGUAAUACGAAGGGUGCAAGCGUUACUCGGAAUUACUGGGCGUAAAGCGUGCGUAGGUGGUGGUUUAAGUCCGUUGUGAAAGCCCUGGGCUCAACCUGGGAAUUGCAGUGGAUACUGGAUCACUAGAGUGUGGUAGAGGAUAGUGGAAUUUCCGGUGUAGCAGUGAAAUGCGUAGAGAUCGGAAGGAACAUCUGUGGCGAAGGCGACUAUCUGGGCCAACACUGACACUGAGGCACGAAAGCGUGGGGAGCAAACAGGAUUAGAUACCCGAGUAGUCCCUGUCUCUUAUAC